UACGUAGGGGGCUAGCGUUGUCCGGAUUUAUUGGGCGUAAAGAGCGUGUAGGCGGCCAGGUAGGUCUGCUGUGAAAACUCGAGGCUCAACCUCGAGACGUCGGCGGAAACCAUCUGGCUAGAGUCCGGAAGAGGAGAGUGGAAUUCCUGGUGUAGCGGUGAAAUGCUUAGAUAUGACAUAGAACACCAAUUGCGAAGGCAGCUGGCUACACGAAUAUUGACACUGAUGCACGAAAGCGUGGGGAUCAAACAGG
rnacentral:rRNA from 1 species